GUAAGGAAUAUUGGACAAUGGGCGCAAGCCUGAUCCAGCCAUGCCGCGUGCAGGAAGACGCAUCUAUGGUGUGUAAACUGCUUUUGUACGGGAAGAAACACUCCCUCGUGAGGGAGCUUGACGGUACCGUAAGAAUAAGGAUCGGCUAACUCCGUGCCAGCCGCCGCGGGAAUACGGAGGAUCCAAGCGUUAUCCGGAAUCAUUGGGUUUAAAGGGUCCGUAGGCGGUUUAAUGAGUCAGUGGUGAAAGCCCAUCGCUCAACGAUGGAACGGCCAUUGAUACUGUUAGACUUGAAUUACAAGGAAGUAACUAGAAUAUGUAGUGUAGCGGUGAAAUGCUUAGAUAUUACAUGGAAUACCAAUUGCGAAGGCAGGUUACUACUUGUGGAUUGACGCUGAUGGACGAAAGCGUGGGGAGCGAACAGGAUUAGAAACCCCUGUAGUCC
rnacentral:rRNA from 1 species